rnacentral:rRNA from 1 species
UACGUAGGGUGCGAGCGUUAAUCGGAAUUACUGGGCGUAAAGCGUGCGCAGGCGGUUUUUUAAGUCAGAUGUGAAAGCCCCGGGCUCAACCUGGGAAUUGCAUUUGAAACUGGGGAACUAGAGUGUGUGAGAGGGGGGUAGAAUUCCAAGUGUAGCGGUGAAAUGCGUAGAGAUUUGGAGGAAUACCAGUGGCGAAGGCGGCCCCCUGGCACAACACUGACGCUCAGGUGCGAAAGCGUGGGGAGCAAACAGG